CACACCAUGAGAGUUGGGAAUACCCGAAGCCUGUGAGCUAACUUUAAGAGGCAGCAGUCGAAGGUAGAAUCAAUGAUUGGGGUGAAGUCGUAACAAGGUACC
rnacentral:rRNA from 1 species